UUAACUAUUAUAUAGUACUCAGACGACAUAUAUUACAGAGUUGGGGUCCUCUGGCAGGCACUCUCCAGCCCUAGAGCCGGUGCUCACGCGUUAGCGCUCGCGACCCACCAAAGCAACAAGUGAAAAUAAUCAAGGGUUAGAAGGACCGGUUUCCCGGCUUCAUUUUUAAUGAUCCUUCCGCAGGUUCACCUACGGAAA
rnacentral:misc_RNA from 1 species